UACAUGGGGUGCAAACGUUGCUCGGAAUCAUUGGGCGUAAAGCGCGCGUAGGCGGUUCGUUAUGUCGGAUGUGAAAGCCCUUGGCUUAACCGAGGAAGUGCAUCCGAAACUGGCGAGCUAGAGUACUAAAGAGGAUCGCGGAAUUCCCGGUGUAGAGGUGAAAUUCGUAGAUAUCGGGAGGAACACCGGUGGCGAAGGCGGCGAUCUGGGUAGAUACUGACGCUGAGGUGCGAAAGCGUGGGGAGCAAACAGG
rnacentral:rRNA from 1 species